rnacentral:lncRNA from 1 species
GGUAAUAUAGAUGCAAAUUUAAGGGAUUACUUUAAGUUUUUUAAGUAAUAGUGGUAGGCAAUUCAGUUGCAAAUUAGAGGGUUAUUUUAAAUAUUGCUUAUAAUGGUAUAAGUGGGUAAUUUUGAUGAAGAUUAGGGGGUUACUUUAGUUUAUUUUAUAUAAUGGCAGAGUUGGUUAAUUUAUAUAUAGAUUUAGGGGUUACUUUAGGCUAUUUUCAUAAUAGCAUAGGUGGGUAAUUUUUUAGAAAAUAUAAUAGAUCCAAUGGCUAUGAAGAUUUGAAUCUAUCGAUCGAUGGUCGGAUGUUUUGCUUUUUUUGAGAAUUUCUAGGAUUUCUCUCUUUUUCUAGAGUGUCCACCUAGGAAUCCUAGGUGGCUUCACCUGAAGGCUUCAAAAGGAAAGUAAUAGUAAGAUAGUUUUGUUGUUGCAUGUAUUAUUCUGAUCAUGAUUAUCCUUGUCUGCAUUUCAGUGACUCAUUAUUUCGGGCUAUCCAUCAUUAACUGAUAAGUUAUGGCCCAAGUGUUGCAUCCAUGGAAUGAAUGGGAGGUCCAAAUCCUAGUCCUUAUCAGCUUCAUGCUGCAAGUGCUGCUACUCACCUUUGCAAGGAUGCGUCG